rnacentral:rRNA from 1 species
AGUGAACGCUGGCGGUAGGCCUAACACAUGCAAGUCGAACGGCAGCACAGUAAGAGCUUGCUCUUACGGGUGGCGAGUGGCGGACGGGUGAGGAAUACAUCGGAAUCUACUUUUUCGUGGGGGAUAACGUAGGGAAACUUACGCUAAUACCGCAUACGACCUACGGGUGAAAGCAGGGGAUCUUCGGACCUUGCGCGAUUGAAUGAGCCGAUGUCGGAUUAGCUAGUUGGCGGGGUAAAGGCCCGCCAAGGCGACGAUCCGUAGCUGGUCUGAGAGGGUGAUCAGCCACACUGGAACUGAGACACGGUCCAGACUCCUACGGGAGGCAGCAGUGGGGAAUAUUGGACAAUGGGCGCAAGCCUGAUCCAGCCAUACCGCGUGGGUGAAGAAGGCCUUCGGGUUGUAAAGCCCUUUUGUUGGGAAAGAAAAGCAGCAGGUUAAUACCCCGCUGUUCUGACGGUACCCAAAGAAUAAGCACCGGCUAACUUCGUG